rnacentral:rRNA from 1 species
UACGUAGGGGGCAAGCGUUGUCCGGAUUUAUUGGGCGUAAAGAGCGUGUAGGCGGCCGUACAGGUCAGCUGUGAAAACUCGAGGCUCAACCUCGAGACGUCGGUUGAAACCGUACGGCUAGAGUCCGGAAGAGGAGAGUGGAAUUCCCGGUGUAGCGGUGAAAUGCGCAGAUAUCGGGAAGAACACCCGUGGCGAAGGCGGCUCUCUGGGACGGUACUGACGCUGAGACGCGAAAGCGUGGGGA